rnacentral:rRNA from 1 species
CCACAUUGGAACUGAGACACGGUCCAAACUCCUACGGGAGGCAGCAGUGAGGAAUAUUGCUCAAUCGACCUAAGUCUGAACCAGCCAAGUAGCGUGCAAGGAUCGACGGCCCUAUGGUUGUAAACUGGUUUUAUGCGGGAAUAAAGUGAGGGACACUUCCCUUUUUGCAGGUACCGCAUGAAUAAGGACCGGCUAAUUCCGUGCCAGCAGCCGCGGUAAUACGGAAGGUCCGGGCGUUAUCCGGAAUUAUUGGGUGUAAAGGGAGCGUAGGCCGCCGGGGCAAGCGUGUUCUCAAAUGCAGUCGCUCAACGUCUGCACUGCAGCGCGAACUGCCCAGCUUGAGUGCGCGCAACGUAGGCGGAAUUCGCCGUGUAGCGGUGAAAUGCUUAGAUAUGGCGAAGAACUCCGAUUGCGAAGGCAGCUCACGGGUGCGUAACUGACGCUCAUGCUCGAAAGUGCGGGUAUCGAACAGGAUUAGAUACCCUGGUAGUCCGCACGGUAAACGAUGGAUGCCCGCUAUUCGGCCGCCUGCGGUUGAGUGGCCAAGCGAAAGCGUUAAGCAUCCCACCUGGGGAGUACGCCGGCAACGGUGAAACUCAAAGGAAUUGACGGGGGCCCGCACAAGCGGAGGAACAUGUGGUCUAAUUCGAUGAUACGCGAGGAACCUUACCCGGGCUUGAAUUGCAGCCGAACGAUCCAGAGAUGGUGAGGCUUCGGGGCGGCUGUGAAGGUGCUGCAUGGUUGUCGUCAGCUCGUGCCGUGAGGUGUCGGCUUAAGUGCCAUAACGAGCGCAACCCCUCUCCCCAGUUGCCAUCGGGUAAUGCCGGGCACUCUGGGGACACUGCCACCGUAAGGUGCGAGGAAGGUGGGGAUGACGUCAAAUCAGCACGGCCCUUACGUCCGGGGCUACACACGUGUUACAAUGGCCGGUACAGAGAGCCGGGUCUGCGCAAGCAGUCUCCAAUCCCAAAAGCCGGCCUCAGUUCGGACUGGGGUCUGCAACCCGACCCCACGAAGCUGGAUUCGCUAGUAAUCGCGCAUCAGCCAUGGCGCGGUGAAUACGUUCCCGGGCCUUGUACACACCGCCCGUCAAGCCAUGAAAGCCGGGGGUGCUUGAAGUCCGUGACCGUUAAGGAUCGGCUUAGGGCAAAACUGGUAAUUGGGGCUAAGUCGUAACAAGGUAGCCGUAAGUUCACAA